rnacentral:rRNA from 1 species
GAUGAACGCUGACAGAAUGCUUAACACAUGCAAGUCAACUGUGGCUGACGGGCGAGUAACGCGUAAAGAACUUGCCUCACAGCUAGCGACAACAUUAGGAAACGAAUGCUAAUGCCUGACACUGUGAGAGAGCUUUGCGUCCCAUUAGCUAGUUGGAGAGGUAACGGCUCACCAAGGCGAUGAGGGGUAGCCGGCCUGGGAGGGUGAUCGGCCACAUGGGGACAGGGGCACGGCCCUUAGUCCUACGGGAGGCAGGAGUGAGGAAUAUUGGACAAAGGACCAAAGACUGAUCCAGCAAUUCUGUGUGUACGAUGAAGUUUUCGGAAUGUAAAGUGCUGUCAGUUGCGGAGCGGUACCAACAGAAGAAGUGACGGCUAAAUACGUGCCAGCAGCCGCGGUAAUUC